rnacentral:rRNA from 1 species
AAUGAACGCUGGCGGCGUGCUUAACACAUGCAAGUCGAACGAGAAAGGGAUUGCUUGCAGUCCCGAGUAGAGUGGCGCACGGGUGAGUAACACGUAGAUAAUCUGCCUUCAAGCCUGGAAUAACUAUUCGAAAGGGUAGCUAAUACCGGAUAAAGUCGGUUCACACAAGUGGAUUGAUGAAAGAUUGCCUCUUCUUGAAAGCAAUUGUUUGGAGAUGAGUUUGCGUACCAUUAGCUAGUUGGUGGGGUAAAGGCCUACCAAGGCGACGAUGGUUAGCUGGUCUGAGAGGACGAUCAGCCACACUGGGACUGAGACACGGCCCAGACUCCUACGGGAGGCAGCAGUGGGGAAUAUUGCGCAAUGGGGGAAACCCUGACGCAGCAACGCCGCGUGUGUGAAGAAGGCCU